rnacentral:rRNA from 1 species
GAUGAACGCUAGCUACAGGCCUAACACAUGCAACCGAUGAUGGCGACCGGCGCACGGGUGAGUAACGCGUAUCCAACCUACCCUUGUCCAUCGGAUAACCCGUCGAAAGGCGGCCUAACACGAUAUGCGGUUCUCAGCAGGCAUCUAACGAGAACGAAAUGUGAAGGAGAAGGAUGGGGAUGCGUCUGAUUAGCUUGUUGGCGGGGUAACGGCCCACCAAGGCGACGAUCAGUAGGGGUUCUGAGAGGAAGGUCCCCCACAUUGGAACUGAGACACGGUCCAAACUCCUACGGGAGGCAGCAGUGAGGAAUAUUGGUCAAUGGGCGAGAGCCUGAACCAGCCAAGUAGCGUGCAGGACGACGGCCCUAUGGGUUGUAAACUGCUUUUAUAUGGGGAUAAAGUGAGCUACGUGUAGUUUAUUGCAGGUACCAUAUGAAUAAGGACCGGCUAAUUCCGUG